AAUUUUCAUACGGCAAGGACUCAUUUGAAUUCUCAUAAAAUUGGGGAGGAAAGCGGAACAAUCCUUUUCCUUUGGUUCCUAUCCAAAAAGAAUUUCC
rnacentral:tRNA from 1 species